GCCACAUGAUGUGAUGUAGAUUGCAUUAGCACUCUGUGCAAAGAUGACUCGCUAUCUAUCACCCAAGACUGAUGGCU
ensembl:snoRNA SNORD83 Small nucleolar RNA SNORD83